AUGCCAAUCAGACCAGGGUCCAGCUGCACCUGUCUGUGGCCACUUAAAGAAGCUAAGGUUGCAUUGUUAGUGGCAACUCUAGGGGAGCACAAGCUGUAUAUCAAGCAAGACAAGAGCUACGUGUCGCUCAAGGAACAACUUGUUGCUGUCGUUCCUGUGCUCGACGAACUGGAAUGCAAGACAGAAGAAAGGAUCAUGCAGUAA
rnacentral:rRNA from 1 species